rnacentral:tRNA from 1 species
GAAGAGAUGGCUCAGUGGUUAAGAGCACUGACUGUUCUUCCAGAGGUCCUGAGUUCAAUUCCCAGCAACCACA